rnacentral:lncRNA from 1 species
GAGGCAACCCUGCAGAGUCAUACAACUUGCUCCCUAAAUACUCUCACGUACUAACUACAGCGAAUGAGGGUACAAUCACUCAUCUCGAGCAGGAUGGAGAUGGUAAUUUCUUGUACUAUUUUGUAGCACUCGGAUCUUCCAUCAAGGGUUUUAUGCAGUACAUUCGGCCUGUCAUUGCUGUAGAUGGUACUCAUCUGAAGGGAUUAUAUCGUGGAAGCAUGUUCGUGGCAACAUGUCUUGAUGGUAACAAUCAAUUGUAUCCGUUAGCCAUUGGGAUCAUGGAUUCAGAAAACAACGAUGCUUGGGAAUGGUUUAUGAUGAAGUUACACGGAGUGAUUGGCGAUAGACCUGAGUUGGUAAUUAUCUCUGAUCGAUGCACUGCCAUAAGGAGAGCCGUUCUUAAAGUUUUUCACAAUGCAACUCAUGGCGUUUGUUUUUACCACGUCAAAGGUAACAUUAAGUCUCAGUUUAGAAUGUCCAAAGCUCUUUGGGAUCAAUUUGAGCCUGCCUUUAUUAAUGCAGCAAAAGCAUAUGGCCACGAGGAAUUUAAGAGAUAACUUGAAGGGUUGUGGAUGAUCCACUCGGGUGCGGCUGAUUACCUAGAAAAUAAUGUCGGUACGUGUAAUUGGGCAAGGUCGUAGUUUGAAGGUAGGAGGUACAACAUUCUUACCACGAACAUCGCGGAGAGUGUUAAUGCGUUCAUGAGGGAACCUCGAAAAUUUCCUGUGACUCAUCUUGUUGAUCACUUUAGGAAAACGUUGCAACAAUGGUUUUAUGAUAGGAAAAUUGUGGCUGAAUCAAUGACUACUCGGCUAACAACAUGGGCGGAUGAAAUAGUCACUGAGAGGAGAACUAUAGCUGAAAGAAUGAUAGUUCGGCCGGUGUCUCCGCAUCGCUUUCAAGUUAUAGGCGGUGGGCUUAAGGAAGGGUUGGUUGACUUGCAAAAGAGAACUUGCUCCUGCAGAGUGUUCCAGCUUGAUCAGCUUGUGUGUGCUCAUGCAAUUGCGGCGUGUCUAACACACCGGGUGGAUUUUAUUAACCUUUGCUCGGACUUUUACACUACAGAAUCGUUGGCGAUGGCUUAUGCACAACCAGUAGAGCCAGUUGGUGAUGUGGCUGAUUGGGAAAUUCCAGAUGAAAUUCAGGAGAUGCAUGUAUACCCACCAGUUGAGGCACCACCACCUGGCCGUCGUAAAGAGCUCAGAAUACCCUCGGCUGGCGAGGACGUUGACCGGCGGACUGUAAGAUGCGGUCGGUGUCAUGAACUAGGCCAUAAUCGUAAGAGAUGUAAGAAUCCCAUUGCGUCGACUCGAAGUUAGUUGUAUUUUGUGUGUUAUGAGUUUGUUAAAACUAUUAUUGUUUUUGUGUUCGUUGGUUAAAACUGUUACUGUUUUUUUUGUAUUGUACACUUAUAUUUCAUAAAACUUUAUUUAAAGUUUCAAAUGUGAGGCAUUAAAAUUAUAUAAACUUAAGUGUGCGAAGUAAAAAAAAUUCAAAUUUCAACAUUUAAAUUACUACAUAGGUUUACAAUUGAAUAUCGUCAUUAAAUAUAUCAACCGCAAUCUUCUUUCUAAAGUACUCGACAUGACUAGCGUUAAACUCCAAUCUAAGCCCGAACAUUAAAUACAUCGUAACCAUCAAUACAAAAACACCGCAAUCGCCAGUGCCGGGAUCUUGUUGUGGCACGCUCUUAACUGCGAUAACUUUCCACGGGUCUUCACUCUGUAACUCCGGUCGGAUAUUGUAGAAGCCAACAUAUUCCAACCAUCGAGGGAAUAUAACUUCAAGUGGCUUGAAUUUCAACUUGUACCUUUUGUCGUCGCGAUUUGUGAGUAAUGAGUCAUAAAUCCAGACUUUGUUUUUCCGAAAGUCAACUCGUGCUAGUACCCAAUGCGCGCCGUCGAAGUUAACAGGGAUGAGUAACUGCAUAUAACAAUUGAAAAACAUGUUCGUUAUGUAUGAAAUUAAAAUACAACAAAGAAAAAGCAACAACUUGAAUAUUUUCAUUAUAUAGCAUGUGAAAUGUAAUAAAAUACAUACCAUAUCGACAUCCGUCAUUGAUUUAGACAUUGUGUGCUGUCGGCCACAAAGAUAACUAUUCACGCGGUCGUCGAAUACCAUUGAAUCGACUGCACAAUUCUCGUUAUUCCAUAACUGAUUCAAGAACACCUAAUACAUAGAUAACCAAGAAAUGCAUAAAUUAAUAAAACUUAAACUUUUACAUCCACAUAAAAUUUAUAAGUUUUGUCGGCACGUUACCCAAAAAAAUGUGUCAGUAUGUGUGACACGUUGGAGUAAGGCAUUUGGAUACUGCCGUUGCUUCUCGCUAAUCAAGCGGAGAUACUCGUGAAUAUGCUGUAGAGAAACAGAAAUAUUACGAGUUUUUAAAAACAAAUUUAUACACAAAUCCACAACAGUAUACACCACGAGGAAAUUAUAAAUACCUCAUCGCCUAACCAUCCCAUCGAAGCUGUCCCCAAAAUUAUUUGAAAGAAUGACCACGGGUGCUGGACUCUCCGGCGGACUCUGCUAUCACCAGUAAACCAUCGAUCAAACUCAGCAAACAGACUAGAGUCCUCCAAUCCUCUCAGUGGAUUUACAUCCACACUCGUACUCAUGUCAAUCGCAUGCUCCAUGAUUUGAGGUCGAGGUAAAGGCCGGACGUUCUGUCCUCGCCUGACCGGAGGAAUCAUGUAAGGACUGUUAUAAACAUACGACGGUAUGUACGCGCGGCCGAACUUACUAACGCCUGGAGGCACCUCUGUGAACACCUGCACGCUCUCCCCACUUACAUCCCCGUAGAAACUAUACAAUGACGUGGGCGUAGACAAAUUUUCAUUGCCCACGUCAGUAUACACUCCAACGUCAUCCGGGGCCUGUACAUUCGCCAAAAAGAACAUAUUAAAUAACUAUCAAAUUAAAAGUUAAACGAAUAUUAUUAUUAACUUUAAAUUAGCUUACCGCAUACGAGCGUGCAGUGGGAGAAUCCUUAUUUGGACGUUUAGAAAAUGUGUCGAUGAAGCCAACAACGGUUUCUUUAAAAUCUUUUAAUUCUGACUUUAUUUCAUACACGUUACGAUCAAUCUUAUCCAGCCGUCGUCGUACGUAAUCAUUAAACUGCUUUGUCCUCGACUAUUACAAAAGAAAAAAAUAAAACUUUAGAAUAACAAUAAAAAAUUAAUAAUUUAUUAAAAAAAUAUCGUAUAUUAUUUCUAACCUCAGAAUCCCGUGCGUCAUCAGAGUUGUCUGUUUGCUGCUGGUGGUCAUCAACAGCCACCUCAUCCUCAAAAGUGUCGUGCCCCACCUCAUCCGCAAAAGUGUCAUGACGCUGCUCUGGUAUUGGGUUUGGUAUGUCGUCAUGAUCGUCAUGCUCGUCUGAUUGCCUUGUAACCGACGGCAUCGCGUUGAUUGAGGGUUGCUGAUGUAUAAAGUAUCAUUUAAAAUUAGUAAAUGAAAAGUCAAAAAUUUCGAUUAACAAAUUUUUAGUGCUUAGAGUAUACCGACCUUAUGAACCCAGUCUGGAAUGCUUGGCAAGUAAUCCUUCACAGAGAGCCAAUAAUUUUUGCUACUCUCCUUUGAAUUUGGCUCAAGGGUUUGUAAAACGUCCCCCUUCCAUAAAUUCAAUUUAAAAUUUUAAGUAAGUAUACAUAACUUAAAUUUAGUAAAGUUUAAAAAAUAAGUAAUACAUAUUACUUACAAGACGAGAUUCGUCGUUGAAGAACGAAUAAACCUCCGCAAAGUUGAUUCUCGACGACGCCAUGGGCUUCCAUUGCAGAAUGCGGGGAAUCUUAUUCUUCGUUUUGACGACCCAUGUUGAUGGCAACCCUCUGAUUGCUUCGUAAAUCCAAGCCUACAACAACCAAAGUGAAAAAUCAAAUAAAACAACUAUCAAAUAUUUAAUACUAUAAAACUUAUUAAUAAACAAAAAAAAAUAGCACCUGAACCCCAGACGUAAAGCCGUAAAGAUUGUAUUUUUCAAUAUUAUGAUCUGAAUUUUUCAACCGAGUCUUCUUAAAUUUCUCGUCUUUCUCGAACAGUGCAUUGUCAAGACUCUCGUAAAUAAUUUCCCACGACAAUAGACCCCAUGGACGCUUUCGAAAGUACUGUAUAUCAUCAACUUGGUCAAGCCAAUCGAAAUUAAUUUGACAGUGAUUUUUUCUUGCAUUUAGUACUCUGUCCGCAAAAUAAAACAGCGCAAUCUUUAAUGCGUCCAUAUCGUUCAUUUCCUCGAAUUUCAACUCCUUAAAUACUGCAUCGAAUUGCUUCACAUUAAUCUUACAAUGCACACCACCAAAAUAUGUAUUCCGUAGCCUCUGCUCCAUUUCAUCAUUUUUUUUAUUGGUAUCCACACCAAAUCAAAGUCCAGUAACCAAGCACCAUUCGACAAUUGACAAGCGAAUCACAUGCUUACCCAUUUGAAACCAUAACUGUAUAUCAUCAACUUGGUCAAGCCAAUCGAAAUUAAUUUGACAGUGAUUUUUUCUUGCAUUUAGUACUCUGUCCGCAAAAUAAAACAGCGCAAUCUUUAAUGCGUCCAUAUCGUUCAUUUCCUCAAAUUUCAACUCCUUAAAUACUGCAUCGAAUUGCUUCACAUUAAUCUUACAAUGCACACCACCAAAAUAUGUAUUCUGUAGCCUCUGCUCCAUUUCAUCAUUUUUUUUAUUGGUAUCCACACCAAAUGAAAGUCCAGUAACCAAGCACCAUUCGACAAUUGACAAGCGAAUCACAUGCUUACCCAUUUGAAACCAUAACUGAUCCUCACGGCUAUCUUCUUCAUGGGCCACUUGCCGCAGUAGAAGAUUGUGCAAAAUUACCCCACUAAAUGGAAAACUUCGACACUCCAAGAAAUGCCCAAAUAUAUCGUUUUUUAACAUACGCAACUGCCGGUUUGUUAAUUUUUCCUCGAUGGCUUUAACGACCGAAGAUAACAUACACAUGCUCGAAAUUCGACCAGGAAAAUGAUCAGCAUAACGAAAAUACAUCUUGCCUACUUCAAUAUCCGGUGAUUCUGAUUUCGCCAUGUAUCUGUAAUAUUUAUAAAAUUAUUACAUUACAUUUACAGAAAAAAAAAAAAUUAACUCCUUACAAAAAAAAAAUUUAAUUUUUGGUGCGACGGGCAAGCCAGUCGCACCAAAAAUUGGUGCGACAGGCGCGCCCGUCGCACCAGCUUUGGUGCAACAGCGUGCCGCGCAUGGCCGCGCGCUGCUGCCCCAGCGAUGUGCGCGCGCGCGCGCCCUGCUCCCCUCCCUCCCCACCCGCAAAAUUAAGCACAAUCACUCCAAAAUCGAAAACAAUACUCCCAAACACCACCAACCACCACAAACAUCAUCACCACCACUAUUAAUCUCAAGCUAUAACUAUUAUUAUUCUAAAAUCUCAUUUUAAAUUAAUGAAAAUAAGAAAAAUGACUAACCUAGAUUUUGUUGAAGGUUGUAGAUCGUAGAUCGGAUGCCGGUGAGAGAUGGAGCCGCCGCCGAGGAGGGUUGAUGUCGCCGCCGAUGAUGGGAGUUGGAUCGGUUUGGGAGAGAUGAGUGAAAGGGAGUGUUGGGGGAGAGAUGAGGGAGGGGUAUUUUGGUCUCAAAUGUUGUUUAAUGGCUAAUAUUGAUAGAAAUAUUUUUGGGGGGUUAAGAUGAAAAAAAGGGAAAUUUUUUUGGUUAUUACUGUAAAUUUCCCAUAAAGUAUUGAAACAUAUUAUACAAUGUUUAUAACACCCCACUUAUUUAUUUAUUUUUUUAAAAAAAAUCCACAUCUAUCAUUAAAACCCCAGUAAUAACGCCAUGGUGAUGAAAUUGUUACUGCUCAUUCUUUUUGUAGGCAAACCAUUUUUUUUUUUAAAUUUUUCAACCCCAGCAUAAACUAAAAGUCUUAGUAUUUAGAUUUUAUUAGUAUGUGGAUGUUCGGUUUUCCCUAUUUCUAUCGAUUUGAAAAUCUCUCAAGUCCUAUUAAUUUCUUAUGUGCAUUAAAUACACUUUAAUUUAAGUUUUGAAGACGUACAAAUGUAUAAAGAGUUUUCAUUAUAAGUGAGUUUUAUUAAUUAUAACUAUCUUUUUAGGUAAUAUCAGUUACAUGUAAAAAUCUAUAUAUAUAUAUAUAUAAAGCUGGGACUUCAGGAGGUGAUGUGGCAUUACCAUUUCUCAUCUUUGUAUAUUCUUUAUUAUCUAAUAAAUAGAGAAAUUUUCUUUUAAAUUUGACUUUUCAUCUUCUCAUAAUUAAUUUGAUUGUUAUUACACAAUAACAAUUAUGUAAAGAUUUUAAUGAGGCAUAUUCUUUGUAAUGAACAUCCAAGUGGGAGUGUUAUGAAUUUAUUAAAAUAAAUGUAGAUGUUCAUAAUAUAUAUCUCUUAGUCUCCCCACUAUCUCUCAUUAGCAACCUUUAGCUUCCCUAUAACUCCCACUAUCUCACAAGGAAUUAUAAUUCAUAAUUUUUCAUUAAUUUCAUGGAGUGAUUAUGUGACUAUAAAAGGAGAGCUUAUCUUUUUGUUUUGUACACACACAAUUGGAAUGAACAAAAUCACCCUAUAAUAUAUUCUCUCAUUUUAUUCUUUAUCUUGUGUUGCUUCUUUAUUUGUAUUGCUGGCUAAUAGCUUUAUUUUUUAUUUUUUUAUAAGGCCGCCUCAUCUUUAAAAAAAAUCAAUUCAUAUUUUUUUAUCAGUUUCAUCAAGUGUAAAGUAAGAAAAAAGGAUAAUAGUAAAUUCUUUUUUCAAAGCCACGUGAAGCGCGGUUCUAUUUUCUAAUAUAAAUAUAUAGCAAGAGUUUGAAUAGAUUUUAUCAGUACUUCAACUCAUAAUAAUAAAUUAGUACUAAUAUAACUACAAACUCUUAUACAAAUUUUUUUUGUACAAAUUAAUAUAACAUGAUUAAGUUGGUCAAUAUGAUUUAUUUUUAUUAUCUUGUAUUUUAUUCAACCAACGAGUUAAUACCAAAUCAGUUUGUAUAAAAUAAAUUUGUACAAGAGUUUGUGACUAUAUCAUCACUCAUAAUAAAUUCAAGCAUUAGAAUCCAUGAUAAAAUGGGCUAGAUAUUUGAAAAAUUUACAAAAAUAGCCAAAAAAUUUUAGGGUCUUUUAGAAUUAGUUAGUUUAACUUUUUCUCCCUUAUAUAGCCAAUUUCAACAUUUUUGGACAACAAUACCCUUGUUGUUCCAAAACCUAAAAAGCUUAACAUUUUCUUUGUUAACAUAUAUGUUUUCAUAAUGUUGAUUUUGAUGAUAACAAAUAAGAUUAAGAAUGAUUAAUCUUUUAAGCUCAAAUUAUUUUUUAUACUUUUUAAAUAAAUCAUUAUUUUCACAUUAUAAAGGUUUCAUAUUUAAUGGAAAAAUGAUUUUAUGAAAUUGGUUGUUUUCAAGUUUAUGAUUUAAUUGAAAGAAUUUUGAAAACUUUAAAAUCAACAAGUAUUGCUUGAAAUUUUGGAGAAGGACUUAUUUAAAAAGUUUCAUCGCAUUGCGGGCCAUAUCAUAAUUUUAGAUAGUUUUGGAAUUAACAAAGUAUUACUUAGAAAUUCUAAAAUUGGACCUAUUUACAAAUGUUCAUAACUUUUUAGGCCAUAGUACAGUUAUGGAAAGUUUUGGGGCCAAACUAUAAUUUUGGAAAAAAAUCAUUGUAGCAGUUACUGUAGCAAGCGGCUAUCCGGAUCUUGACAAACGGUAUACCGAAUUCGGACAUAAUGUUUCUGGAACUUAAACGGCUAACCGGAUUUCACAAGCGGCAUACCGGAUGUUCAGAAAUUCAAAAUUGUGGCUGUAACGGUAACAUUAAGCGGCUAACCGGAUGUCCAUAAACGGUAAGCCGGUUAUGACCAAAAUGUGCAUAACGGCUUGUUUUUGAGCUCAAACUAUAUAAACUCAAAACCAAUUCAUUUUUGGUAACCUAAGCAAGCAUAAACAAGUGCACACAACUUAUAUUGAGCUUCAAAUUCGAAAAUCAUCAUAGAUUAAAUCUUUAUUGAGCUAUCAAUUUGUAUAUCCACUCUUAAAGAGAGUUUCAUUGUUGUAAUUUUUAUUUCUCAUUAAAUUAUGAGUGUACAAGUGUGAGAAACACUUGGGGUGAAGAGAUUGGAGAGAUAAUCUCUUGUUGUAAAGGUUCAUUGACACAUUGAAGUCAAUUGUAAACGUUUGAAGUCUUAGAAAGGCUCAGAUAGUGAAAUCCUCAAGCCCGGUGUGCUUGGAGGCGUGGACGUAGGCGGGGAUUGCCGAACCACGUAAAAUCCUUGAGUUUGCUUUCUCUUUCCUUGCUAAUUUAUUAUUGUGCUUUCAUUGAAUUUAUUGCUUUCGAAUUUAUUAAGACAUUAGAUUGGAUUGUUGUGUGGUUUGCUUAGCUUAAUUUUUAAAAUCCCAAUUCACCCCCUCUCUUGGGUUGCCUAGUUAGUAUUUCAUUUGGUAUCAGAGCAAGGUGCUCUUAUUUAGACUUAACCGUCUAGAGCUAAAGAUCAAUGGCAACUUAAAAUGAUUCCACAUUUAGGGAAUGACAGUCCACCACUAGACUACCUUACUUUGAUGGAAACGAUUACCCGUAUUGAAAAACUAGGAUGAGAAUUUACUUGCAAGCCUUAGAUUAUGAAAUUUGGGAAAUCGUUAAUGAUGGUCCUUGUUGUGCAAAUUUUAUUGAACUCGCAAGUGCACGAAUCUAUUGUAAAAUAUAUCAAUGGUAACGAGUGUCGAUUCCACGAGGAGGUUGAUUUUAAUUGUGUGUAGAAUAAAUUUUUCUAAAUGGAUGUUUGGAUUUGUGGUGAAAGUGACUUAGAUUAUCCUAAACUUGGAAUUGAAAUAGCAAGAAUAAAUUAAAGAGAAAUCUAUUAAAAUGACGUACUUGGGUAUCUGGAUCCGUAUCAACAUGCACCAUGGGCUAAAUAUUCCUUAUUAAUGUCAAUUAAAUCAUGAGGGGGGUUUCCACACCUCAUGAACCACGCUCUAAUCAAUAUGGUGCUAAGGGCUUAUCGUGCCAAAUAAUAAUAACCUUAUACUAGAGAGCCGGUGAAACCAAGGUGGUAUCUAGACAAUAUUAUUAUUAUUUGUCGACGAGAAGUUAAAACAUCCACAAAAAUUAGAGGGAAAGAGAAAAUAAAUUUACCAAAUAAAGCCCAUGACACAUGUUGAGACUUCACAUUCAACCCAAGCUUGAAAGAAAAUUAGCUAUUCAUAAUUGAACUAGGGGCAAAAUGAGAAUUUAUUAAAAUACAUAGAAAAUACAAGAUGGAGAAGGAAUUACAGAAAAUGGAGUCCAAAAAUAGAUUCAGAGAUAUCAAAUUAAGGGGGAAGAGCCCCAUUUUUAUAGAUACAUUGAGUAAAUCAUGGCCAUCGGAUCAAAAACAUUUCGGACGCUCAGGAUUGCGCCACGUCAUCAGUCAAUAGUACGCGGUUUGACCACGCGGUUUGAACAGUAACACAGUUUGACCCGGGUUGAACAGUGACGUGGUUUGGUUGAAAAUAAUUGUGUGUAAUGCAUGUACCGUACGCGAGAUUUUUGGUCCACUGAUAUGCUGCCACAUCAUCGAUCAACAGUGCAUAAGAAUUUUAGUCCGACAGGAUCGUGACACCUCAUCAGUCAAUGCCACAUCAUCGGUCAAUGCUACGUCAUCGAUCCGUCUAUGUGAACAGUGUCGUAAACAGUAUCGUACAUGUUAACAAUGUCAUUUUUCCUUUUAUGCUCCUCCUAAGGUUUUCGACCAUCCUGAGUUCAAAAGUGAUGUCCAUUUUGCCGUCUGAUCUCUUGUUCAUUGUGAAAUGACUGUGAUGCCCCUAAAAUACAUAAAAUACUUAAUUAUAAUACAACACACAUAAUUAAAUGACAAGAAGUUUAAAUACAUAAAAAUUUUAGUCCGACAAGAUCGUGACACCUCAUCAGUCAAUGCCACAUCAUCGGUUAAUGCCACGUCAUCGAUCCGUCUAUGUGAACAGUGUCGUAAACAGUAACGUAGACAGUACCGUACAUGUGAACAGCGAUAUUUUUCCUUUUAUGCUCCUCUUAAGGUUUUCGACCGUCCUGAGUUCAAAAGUGAUGUCCAUUUUACCGUCUGAUUUCUUGUUCAUUGUGAAAUGACUGUGAUGUCCCUAAAAUACAUAAAAUACUUAAUUAUAAUACAACACACAUAAUUAAAUGACAAGAAGUUUAAAUACAUAAAAGUAAGGGUGUUAGCAAAACUUGAAGUGUAAAAUGACGAUUUUCUCAUUUAUAAAUAUAUAUUUUCUAAUACUCAAAACACCCCCAACCAGCUUAUUGCUAGUCCCUAGCAAAUAAAGCGAAAACAAAAUUCAAAUCCAAAAUGAUUUAUUUUAUUUAUUUAUUUUUUAUUUUUUAACAAUCAUAUUUAUUCAAUCAGACUAAUGAUAGUAAUCAAAUAAAAGUAUAAGCAUUAUCUCCAGUUUAAAGAAACAUCACACUUACAUCAACCAUCCACAUGAAUUAGCCCAAUGGACUUUGUCAUAGCUACUUUUAAGAAUAACAUGUCAAACCCCAAAAUCUCACUGGAAGUAGUGACACUCUCACAAAGAAAUUAAACCCAAUAAAAAUAGUCACUCCAAUGAAUGGUAAUUGAGAGAAAAUAAUAAAGAAAUGAUAUCACAUGCUCUCACCAAGAUGAAAGAAAUAUGCCCUCAGCUUAGAAAUAAUACGAUCUCAAGUCAAAUAAAAAUGCUAGUCAACCCACUUUAUUUAUCUUUUUUUUUUAUGCAUCACUACAUCUUUUUAGCCCAUAUAACUAGCUUCUACUUCAGACUAUAAUUCCCUAAAAUCAAGAAGGACUUUUAGUAGGACGUAACGUAGGUUAGAGACAUGGCUAACAAAGAAGGGAAAUAAAAAAACAAAGUGUAUGUUUGAGAAAAAUGCAGAGGAAUUUUUUUUUUUUGGAAGUUGCAAAGUGGAUUUCACCUAUUAUUAUUAUUUUUUUAUUUUUUUUUAAACAACAAUUUUUUUUUUUGCUUUUGUUGGGCAUAACUUCACUAUACAAAAUAUUUAUUUACAUUUUUCUCAAACAUAAAUAGGUGAUGUAACUUGUAAGAUAUUGGGUAAUACUCCAAAUCGGAGUGAGUCAAGAUGAUAAGUUUGACAAAGAAAAGUUUUUUUUUUUUUAAAGGCUCAAAAGGGUUAAGUAUGGAUAUUUGAUAAAAGAGAUGGCUAGAAAGGCUCAAACGGAUCAAAGAUUGUCUUUCCAUCAUCUUUUAGGGCUCUAAAUAAUCUUCCAUAUCUACUAGUUAGAUGAGCCUCCAUAUGUAGCAACACAUAUUUUUUUUUCUUCUUUUUUUUAAUUUUACAAUUUUUUUAAGGGUUAACUCAAAAGAAAUCUAGAGAUCGUGUAUACAAUAAUAAACUGCUAAGCUGUAUAAAUAAUGGGCAAAAAGGUUACUCUCCAAGAAAAAUGAUAGGCUCAAAAACUCACUUGGUACUUAUUAUGACAUGUUCAUUCCUUCAAGCAACUCAUAUUUGUCUCCGACAUCAACAUGUAGAGUAACAAACAUAGUGUAACAUCACUUAAGACCAAAGAUAAUACAAAUACUAAAAUUUGAAAUUAAUCAUGUCAUCCAUUGUUAAAACAAAUCACACAAAUUUUUUUUUAAACAACAUCCUACCCCCCAACCUAUUCUAAACAUGAAAGGAAAAUAUGCAUGCAGAAAUGUGAAAAUGAUGCAAAAAAAAAAAAACUAAUUAGAAAAGUUACACUUAAAAUGAUAGAAAAUGAAAAUGGUUUUUUUUUUUAACUUAAAAAGAUGUGUUUCUAGAGGCACUACUACACUCCAUAUUUAGCCAUCUUCGACUCAAAAUUUUGAAAGUGUAUAUUUAUAAAGGAGAAAUUAGAAAGAAGAAGUUAGAAAAAUAAUUGUCAAAGCUUAAUAAAGAAAAAGAAAAUGUCUGGAAUUUUUUUUGUUUCUUUAUUAUUUUUUUUAAACAAAGAAGAUGCGUUUCUAGAGUCACUACACUCUAUAUUCAGCCAUCUUCAACAUAAAAAGUUAGCCACGGUUAGUCUCUACAGUAAAAAAUUAGUAAAAACUUAACCAAGAUUCCACAAUUAUCGACUAUUCCCUCCCCCCAACCAGAACGAAACAUUGUCCUCAAUGUUUUAAAGGAAAAAAGUAGAGUUUAGAAGACAUCACCUGGGUGGUGCAACACAGAAGAAAAUAUUUACAAGCGGAGAGUUAAAUCUAAUUUGUACUUCUUACUGCGGCUACUGUUACCAUCAUUAUUUGGAUGCUCCAACACAAAGGUCCAGGGAUCUGGCUCCGGUCUAUAAGCUUGUAACAGAUCAAGUAGCUCAUUAGCAGUGUGAGCACAAAUAAAAAGUUUUUUCGUAUUGGAAGGAAUGAAGUAGUUUUUUAUUGCAUGGUUAAGAAAUGUGAUGAAGCCAUCAUAAAAGUUAUUGACAUUUAACAAACCGAUGGAUUUCUGGUGAAUGUGCAUAUGGGCCCAAGAUGCUAGUGUGAUAAGUGUCUCUAGUGUUGCAAGAUCUCUUGGAAGGAAAAUAAAAGUAUCAGCAUGAUUAAGCAUUUUAGUUAUUCUUUCUUGCAUACCUGAGAUGACUAACUCUUCUCCAGUCGAUGAGUCAGACAAACUGCCCAAAGGUUUUAGAGCUCUUGGGAUGAUGCCUAACACUUGGCUUCUUCUGACAAAAGCAGCUUCUGAGACCAAUUUUGAUAACCCUCGGUUACCUCCUCCAUACACCAAGUGUAAUUUUCUCUCUGCUAUGCUUCGACCAAUAUCUAUAGCUGCCUCAACGAACUCUUUAUGUUUGCCAUUGUGAAACCCAAAAAGCACACAAAUGUUCUUGAAUUGUCUAUUGGGAGUAGCUGCCAUUGAGAUACUUCUCAAAAAUAAUUUGUGAGCGCUUGACAAAAAAUUAUAUUUAAGAAUCUUGAUGACAGCGGGUCACAGCUGUGUAUGAGGUAGCAUGUCAGUGUCAAAUAACGUGUAAAGCACAUGGCUCGAGAGUAAAAAAGCAAACAGUAAAAAAAUGAUAAAAUAAAAUUAUUAAAGAAAAUAUUGCAAAUGAUAAAACAACAGUGAAAUAAAAUAACAGUGAAGUAAAAGGAUAUUUACAAGUAGUUUCGACUGUGGCUCACAUCUUCCUCUGGUUUUACGUCCAGAAACGGCUUGAACUCCUUCUAUGGGUCGAGGAUAGACUUCCUAUCCAGUUUUCUUAAAAACUGGCAAACAUGGUCGUUUAUAGUCAGAUUCCCGAGACUAUAUCGUGCAUGCUCUUUCUGGAAUAAUGGUCAUAACUGGAGAAUCGCUCCUUGCACAUAUCCAUUGGGAUGCGUUUCAAGAGAUAAAAAGAUAUCAUCCAAUGACUCCUUAUUCAAGUCAUCCCUAAUGAAUUGAAUCUUAUCUUUCCUGUUAUCAGACACCAUUCCUAAAGAACAUGAGUUUUUAUCGCAUCUCAUUCUGGCACAUUUAUGACAAGCAACAGAAAUUCUUCGAGCUCGUCGUUUUCUUGCAUAAUUUCCUUUACCACAACCAGGCAUGUAUACAAUAAAUUUUGGAGGUAACUCACCUGCCAAUCGUACUUUAGCCUCAAUUAAACAACGGAUGUCAGCAGGUAUGUUAUUCCUCAUGAGCAAUCGCAUGCAUUCGGAUCGAGCUUUAUAGAUUGUACGGAGGGUAUUCUGAGGAAGUGAAGGGAAUCGCUUGUGAAGUUUCGCUAGAAUCUCGUUUCUGUCCAUACCUUCACCUUAGAAUAUCAGUUAUUAUGGGAAAACUGAAGUAACCGACUUGAUUGUCACAGAGUACCGUUAUCCGCCACUUCAAUGGGAUAACAAACUAAAGCACACAAACAGAAAAACAAAUAACACACAGAAAAUUAAAAUCGUCCUCUUAUUGAAUUUACCUCAAGUUCCAACUGGAUGUUGUAAACACUUCUCUCAAUGUCUCUGAGUUGGCUUUCUAAAUCCUCAACAUAGGAUACUAACUCUGGUGGUUGCAGAGCCCAAAUACGAUGUGUUUUACAAAAUUGAAUCUGCCUUUUGAGAUGAGAUUUUACACGUUGAAGUGGUUUAAGAAUGUUCAGGAAGAACGGUUUAAGUAUGGUACUCAUGAUUAACAAUGAUAAGAAAAAAACUUAAUAGUUAAACAAACACACUUAUGCAAAAAUAAUUUCAAUUAGCAAAAAUAAAUAAUAAAAAGAAAAAAAAAUCAAAUCACCGAAAAGAAAAAAAAAAUCAAUUCAAAUCUGGUGGGUCACUCAAAUUUAUUUCGGUGUCUCCUCCAUGUGGUUGGUACUCUUGAUAUGGUUUUAAUCUUUGACCAUUAACUUUAAACGUAACACCAUUCUUUGGGUCCUUUAUUUCAAUUGCCCCAUGUGGAAAAACAGUAUGAAUAAUAAAGGGGCCAGACCAUCGAGAGCGUAACUUACCUGGGAAUAAGUGCAAGCGAGAAUUGAAUAAAAGCACUUUUUAACCUGGAGUGAAAGAUUUUCUCAUAAUUUUCUUGUCAUUGAAAACUUUCAUUCGUUGCUUGUAAAUCUUGGCAUUUUCGUAUGCAUCAUUACGAAUUUCUUCAAGUUCUGCCAGCUGUAAUCUUCUUUCUGAGCUAGCUUGUUGCAUGUCAAAGUUGAAUUUCUUGAUGGCCCAGUAUGUACGAUACUCAAGUUCCACAUGUAGGUGGCAAGCUUUUCCAUACACUAGCCUGUAGGGUGACAUCCCAAUCGGGGUCUUAAAAGCCGUUCUAUAUGCCCAUAAUGCAUCAUCAAGUCUUAAUGACCAAUAUUUUCUGUCUGGCCUCACAGUCUUUUCUAAUAUGUGAUUUAUUUCUCGAUUGGAGAUCUCAACUUGGCCACUAGUUUGCGGAUGAAAUGGGGUCGCCACUUUGUGAGUGAUUGAAUACUUUGCAAAAGUGGGCACCACCAUCACUGAUUAUCGCUCGAGGAAAUCCAAAGCGUGAAACAAUGUUGCUUUUCAAAAAUCCUAUCACCACCUUGUGAUCAUUGGUUCUACAUGGAAUUGCUUCUACCCAUUUUGAUACGUAGUCAACAGCAACCAAUAUGUAUUGAUGGCCAAACGAAGAGGGAAAGGGUCCCAUGAAGCCGAUACCCCAUACGUCAAAAAUCUCAACCACUAAAAUUAGAUUUAGUGGCAUCAUGUUCCUUCGUGUAAUGCUCCCCAUUCGUUGACACCUAUCACAUGAAGAACAGAAAGUGUAAGCAUCUCGAAAUAUAGUUAGCCAAUAAAAACCACAUUGUAAAACUUUAAUAGCUGUUUUCUUAGCACUGAAAUGGCCUCCACAAGCUUGUUCAUGGCAGAAUGAAUGGAUAUUCUGAAUUUCAUUUUCUGGGACACAUCGUCUAACAAUUUGAUCUGCAUAUUACUUGAACAAAUACGGGUCAUCCCAAAAGAAAUUCUUUAUUUCUGCAAAGAAUUUAGUCUUGUCUUGCUUGGUCCAAUGCUCUGGAAGUUGACCUGUAACAAAAUAAUUAACGAUAUCAGCAUACCAUGAUAAUACUUCCACACUCAUCAAUUGUUCAUCUGGGAAUGACUCAUUCAAUGGUAAUGAUUCUAUAAUUGUGUCAAAAUUGAGACGAGAGAGAUGGUCUGCCACAACAUUUUCUGUGCCUUUCUUAUCUUUAAAUUUCAAGUCGAAUUCCUGCAAAAGUAACACCUAACGAAUUAGUCUAGCUUUUGCAUCUUUCUUUGUGAGAAGAUAUUUAAGAGCAACAUGAUCCGUAAAUACAAUUAUUUUACAACCAAUGAGAUAAGAUCGAAAUUUUUCUAAUGCAAACACUACUGCUAGCAUUUCUUUUUCAGUAGUUGAAUAGUUCAAUUGUACAUCAUUCAAUGUCAUACUAGCAUAGUAAAUAACAUGAGGAAUUCGAUCAACUCUUUGUCCUAACACUGCUCCUACUGCAUAAUCAGAUGCAUCACACAUGAGUUCAAAUGGUAAGCUCUAGUUUGGGGGCUGAAUGAUGGGUGAUGAUGUCAACAACCGCUUUAAUUUUUCAAACGCCACAAGACAUGAAUCAUUAAAGAUAAAAGGUACAUCCUUAGCAAGUAAAUUACAUAAGGGUCUAGAACUUUGCUAAAAUCUUUAAUGAAACGUCUAUAGAAACCAGCAUGCCCAAGGAAAGAUCUUACUUCUCUAACUGUUUUGGGUGGAGGAAGAUUAGAAAUGAGAUCCAUCUUGGCUUUGUCAACCUCAAUACCUUUGCUCGAAAUGAUGUGACCGAGAACAAUACCUUGUUUUACCAUAAAAUGACACUUCUCCCAAUUCAAGACUAAGUUCUUCUCGGUACAUCUCUGCAGAACUAGUGUUAGAUGAUGUAAACAUUGAUCAAACGAGUCACCAAAGAUAGAAAAGUCAUCCAUAAAGACUUCAAGGAAUCGUUCAACCAUAUCAGAAAAAAUGCUUAACAUGCAUCGUUGAAAUGUAGCAGGUGCAUUACAUAAUCCAAAUGGCAUCCUCUUAUAUGCAAAAGUGCCAAAAGGGCAAGUGAAAGUAGUUUUCUCCUGAUCUUUUGGUGUUAUGGGGAUCUGAUUGUAUCCUGAGUAGCCAUCUAGAAAGCAAUAAAAUUCAUGGCCUGCUAAUCUAUUAAGCAUUUGAUCAAUAAAUGGUAAAGGAAAAUGGUCUUUACGUGUGACAGAAUUCAACUUUCUAUAAUCAAUGCAUACACGCCAUCAUGUAGUUACUCUAGUUGGUAUUAAUUCAUUAUGAGCAUUGGUAACUACUGUGACUCCUGACUUUUUAGGGAUAACUUGUACAGGACUGACCCAUAAACUAUCAGAAAUUGAGUAAAUGAUACCUGCAUCUAAUAGCUUAAGGACUUCAGUUCUAACAACUUCUUUCAUGUUAGGAUUUAACCGAUGUUGCAUUUCCCUAGUAGGUUUAGCAUUUUCAUCAAGGUGAAUGUAAUGCAUGCAGUAUACUGGGUUUAUACCUUUGAUGUCUGCUAUGGUCCAUCCUAAUGCUCCUUUGUGCUCUUUUAAAACAUCUAACAACUUACCUUUUUGUUCGUCAUUGAGGGAUGAUGAGAUGAUUACCGGCAGAGUACUUUCGGUGGUGAUUCUGAUGAUGGGAUGAGUUUCUUUUUUUAUGGUGCUAGUUGUUCAACUCUUGACUUCCAUUUAUUAGUGUUCAUGGAUGGUGCUGAGUCAAGAAGGACGUUGACCUCAUCAACUGAUAUGUCAAUAUCAAAAUUAAAACCAAAGUAAGUUAAACAUGUUUGUAAAGGGUCAUCACUAAGGUUUGAAAGAAAAGUGUCAUCAACCAAUGCUUCAAUUAAAUCCACAUCAACAAUUCUAUCAUCUGCAUUGUAAGGUUGUUUGGCAAUGUUGAAGAUGUUCAACUUCAUAGUCAUGUUACCGAAGGACAACUGUAUAUUUCCAGUCCUGCAUUGAAUGUGAGCAUCUGCAGUUGCCAAGAAAGGUCGGCCUAGAAUAAUGGGGAUGUGCUUCCUUGAAUCUUGUAUUGGUUGAGUGUCAAUUACAAUGAAAUCAACAGGAAAAUAAAACUUGUUUACCUGGAUAAGCACGUCCUCCACAAUACCACAAAGUAUUUUCGUGGACCGAUCUGCAAGUUGUAACACCACUGGAGUUGGGUGUAAUUCUCUUAGUCCAAGUUUCACGAAAACUGAGUAAGGUAACAGAUUUACACUAUCUCCUAAAUCCAACAAAACAUUCUCAAUUGUAUGGUUCCCUAUGCUACAUGAGUUAGUGAGGGAACCCAGGUCUUUACAUUUCAAAGGAAUUUUGUGUUGGAGUAUAGAACUAACAUUUUCUGUUAAAAAUGCCUUCUUUUGAACAUAAAUAUUUCUCUUUUUAGUACAAAGGUCUUUAAGAAACUUGGCAUAAGAUGAAACUUGUUUUAUAAUAUCAAGUAAAGGGAUGUUAACACUUACCUGUUUGAAGAUUUCAAGAAUCUCACCUGUGAAUUUUUCUUUCUUUCCUUUAGCUAACCUCUGAGGAAAUGGAGCUUUGGGAACAUAUUCUCGUGGGUUGGUUUCUUCUUUCUCUUCGGAUGGUGAGUCCUCAACAUUCACAUGUACAAUUUUAUUUUCUUUUGUCACCGGCAUCUCCACUUUGUUGUCGACUGUUUUUCCUUUUCGUAAGGUCAUGACUGUUUUGACCUCUCCAUGCUGCUGUGGUGAACUGGUACUUGCUUCAUGUACUCUUUUAGGAUUAGGCACUGGUUGACUUGGAAAUUUACCUUUCUCAACAGUCAUUGCCAAGGUCUGAACUGAAGAAGCAAGUUGUCCCACCAUCUUCUCGAGGCUUGAAACUGAUUGGGCUUGUGAGUUGAAGCCCGCUCUCAACUCAUUUCGUAGUCCAUCAAUGGUGUGAUUCUGUUGCUCAAUCGUAGAGUGAGUAACAUUCCUGAAAUUUUGGAAUGCAUCCUCCCAUGGUCUGGGUUGAGAGUAGUUCUAGUUAUAAUUGUAUGAUCUAAAUGGUGGCUGAGAGGCUUGGGGAACUUAAGGAAUUUGUUGCAUUGGUGAAGCUGGAGCUGCUGGUCCAUUCUGUUGGAAUCCUUAAGACCAUGAAAAAUUGGGGUGGUCUCUCCAUCCAGGGUUAUAUGUGUUGGAGUAUGGGUUGUAAUUCGAUGGUUUUCUCAUUACACCUAUGACAUUGGUUUGAUCUGAGUAUGAGUCAUGGUCAUGUGGUUCUGUUGAUUUAGCAGUCGAUAACGAUGUUCUUUGUCGAGAGAGACCUUCAAUUAUCACUUUGACUUCUUUAAUUUCUGAACUUGACUCGCAAAUGUGAACCCCAAUUACUCCCUUAAUUUUUCUAGUAUUCCUGAGUGAUCGACUCCGUUGUUGGGAAUUAUCCGCUUGUCGCUGGAAGAAUUCCCAAAUUUCUGAUGCACUUUUUGCCAUUAACUCUCCUCCACUUGUUGCCGUUAGCCAUUCUUGCACAUUCGGCAAUAAUCCCUCCAAAAAGUAUUGGCAUUGGUGCUAUUUCUCGUACCCAUGAUGUGGACACUUCAAGAGUAGCCCAUUGAAUCACUCCCAUGUUUCGAAAAACUGUUGGUCUUCUCUCUGGGUAAACUAUGAAAUUUCCCUACGAAUAGCAUUGGUUUUAUGCAUUGGGAAGUAUUUAUUCAAAAAUUUAGCUACUAUUUGUUCCCAUGAUGUAAUGCUAUUGGCAGACAAUGUAUUAAGCCAUGAACGAGCUUUAUCCUUUAAAGAAAAUGGGAAUAAUAUGAGUUUAACAUCAUCGUUUGAAAAAUUCUCGUAUUUAAAAGUUUGACAAAUAGCAUGAAAAUCAUUCAGAUGAUUAUAUGAGUCCUCAUUUUCUAAGCCAUAGAAUAUUGGGAGACAAUUUAGCACACUAGGUUUUAGUUCAAAACUCCUAGUAGCUACAUUUGGGUAUCUUAUAUAUGAUGUGCUCAAAUUAGUUAAGGGACUAAAAUAGUCCUUAAAUGGCCUCUCCUGUGGUGCUUGUAAAUCCAUUCCAAAUUUAUUUUUAACGUACUUGUGUGUGCGAAGUGUUUUUUCUAGUUCAAGGUCUAUAGGUUCAAGAUUAGGUAAUAAUGACAUACGACCAUGCAUGCAAGAAACACAAAAAUAAAUGGAAACAAAACAAAUAAAAAUAAAUAAGAAUGAGAAAUUACGUUACUAACUUUAUCACGCUGUUAAAACAUUUCUAUAAAAAUACACAAAAACAAAUACGUGAAAUAAAUUAACUAAAAAAAUUAGUAAGAUAAACAAAAAUUACAAAUAAGAAAAAAAAUAACUUGAAAUUAAAUUACAGAAUUUUAAAGAAGAGAAAAAGAAAAAAAAUACUAACCUCUAAAUGCAAAUUCACUUUUUUUUUCUUUUUUCUUUUUUUUAAUAAAAAAUACAAGAAAAUAAAUAAAAGAAAUUAUUCACAAAAAUUAAUUAUGCGAAUUAAAAUAACUUACCUCCCCGGCAACAGCGUUAAAAACUUGUUGUGCAAAUUUUAUUGAACUCGCAAGUGCACGAAUCUAUUGUAGAAUAGACCAAUGGUGACGAGUGUCGAUCCCAUGAGGAGGUUGAUUCUAAUUGUGUGUAGAAUUAAUUUUUCUAAAUGGAUGUUUGGAUUUGUGGUGAAAGUGACUUAGAUUAUUCUAAAAUUAGAAUUGAAAUGGCAAGAAUAAAUUGAAGAGAAAUCUAUUGAAAUGACGUACUUGGGUAUCUGGAUCCGUAUCAACAUGCACCAUGGGCUAAAUAUUCUUUAUUAAUGCCAAUUAAAUCAUGAAGGGGGUUUCCACACCUCAUGAACCACGUUCUAAUCAAUAUGGUGCUAAGGGCUUAUCGUGCCAAAUAAUAAUAACCUUAUACUAGAGAGCCGGUGAAACCAAGGCGGUAUCGAGACAAGAUUAUUAUUAUUUGUCGACGAGAAGUCAAAACAUCCACAAAAAUUAGAGGGAAAGAGAAAAUAAAUUUACCAAAUAAAGCCCAUGACACAUGUUGAGACUUCACCUUCAACCCAAGCUUGAAAGAAAAUUAGCUACGCAUAAUUGAACUAGGGGCAAAAUGAGAAUUUAUUCAAAUACAUAGAAAAUACAAGAUGGAGAAGGAAUUACAGAAAAUGGAGUCCAAAAAUGGAUUCAGAGAUAUCAAAUUAGGGGGGAAGAGCCCCCUUUUUAUAGAUACAUUGAGUAAAUCAUGGCCAUCGGAUCAAAAAUAUUUCGAACGCUCAGGAUUGCGCCACGUCAUCAGUCAACAGUACGCGGUUUGAACAGUAACACGGUUUAACCCGGGUUGAACAGUGACGCGGUUUGGUUGAAAAUAAUUGUGUGUAAUGCAUGUACCGUACGCGAGAUUUUUGGUCCACUGAUAUGCUGCCACGUCAUCAAUCAACAGUGCAUAAGAAUUUUAGUCCAACAGGAUCGUGACACCUCAUCAGUCAAUGCCACGUCAUCGGUCAAUGCCACGUCAUCGAUCCGUCUAUGUGAACAUUGUUGUGAACAGUAACGUAGACAAUACCGUACAUGUGAAUAGUACCGUACAUGUGAACAGUGCCAUUUUUCCUUUUAUACUCUUUCUAAGGUUUUCGACCGUCCUGAGUUUAAAAGUGAUGUCCGUUUUGCCGUCUGAUCUCUCGUUCAUUCUGAAAUGACUGUGAUGCCCCUAAAAUACAUAAAAUACUUAAUUAUAAUACAACACACAUAAUUAAAUGACAAGAAGUUUAAAUACAUAAAAGUAAGGGUGUUAGUAAAACUUGAAGUAUAAAAUGACAAUUUUCUCCUUUAUAAAUAUACAUUUUCUAACACUCAACAGUCCUUUCAUGCCUUUGACUAAAAAUGAAGUCGAGGAAGAUAUUUCAAAACCUUCACGGGAAUGGAAUGAAUUCGAAAAGAGAAAAGCUUCUCUAAAUUCCAAGGCUAUGAAUGCCUUGUUUUGUGCACUAGAUAAGAAAGAGUUUUAUAGAGUGUCUAGUUGCGAAAGUACUAAUGAAAUUUGGCACAAACUUGAAGUUGUUUAUGAAGGCACGAACCAAGUGAAAGAAUCUAAAAUAAGUAGGUACACUCGACAAUAUGAAUUGUUCCAAAUAGAACAAAAUGAGAAUGUGUACUCUAUGUAUACUAGAUUUACGAACAUAGUAAACACUCUAGGAGCCCUAGGAAAUACCUUUUCAAAUAGCGAGAAAGUUAAGAAAAUUAUUAAGUCGCUACCUAAGGAAUGGAGACCAAAAAGGACUACCAUUGAGGAAGCCAAAGAUUUAAAUGCAUUACUUAUUGAUGAUUUAAUUGGUUCUCUCAUUUCAUAUGAAGAAGAUUUAAUAGCUGAAAAAAUGGCAUGAGGAAAAGAAGAAAAACAUUGCUCUCAAGGCUUCAAAAUGUGAGAGUGAUGAGGAAAGCGAAAUGGAUGAUGAGGAGUUGGCAAUGUUGGCUAGAAGAUUCAGAAAAUUUUACAAGAAAAAUAAUGAGCAGAGAAAGUUCAGAGGCUACAAGAAUAAGAAUGAGAAGAAAGAGCCAAUCACUUGUUAUGAAUGUAAGAAGUCCGGACACAUACGACUGGAAUGUCAUCUCCUCAACAAACUCAAGAAGAAAGCUAUGGUGGCGACAUGAGAUGAUAGCGAUGAGGAAACAAGUGAUGAUGAAGAGCAACAAGAAAUGACAAAUUUAGCUCUCAUGGCCUUUGGGGAAGAAUCAUGUGAUGAACUUGAUGAGGUAAGUAUUCUUCCUACAUUUGAUGAAUUACAUGAUGCCUUUAAGGAUUUGCAUGAUGAGUUGAUGAAGAUUGGUAAAAAGAAUAUAUGUCUUAAAAAGAAGAUGAUAGAGCUUAAAAAUGAAAAUGAAUCAUUUAGUGCAAAGAUUACAUGCCUAAAAUUAGAGAAUAAAACAUUGUAUGAUAGAAUUGCAUUAUUUGAGAAUUCUAGCACUCCACAUGAGCACUUAGAGUCACACAUGAAUGACUUGAAAAAUGAAAAUGAAAUGCUUAAAAAGAAGAGCAAUAAACUAAAUGAGAUUGUGCUAAAAUUCAUAAAUGGGCAAAAGAUAUUGGACAACUUGCUAAACUCACAAAAAUGUGUUUUUGACAAAGGAGACAUUGGUUAUAAGCCAAACUUGAAACAAAAAUAUUACAAGAUUUAUUUUGUGAAGAAUACAUCUAUUAACAAUCAAAUUGUAUGUCAUUAUUGUAAUCAAGAUGGUCUUAUGAAAAAUAGAUGUGUGGUGAAGAGAAAUGCAUAAUAUGGUGUGAAAUGUGUUUGGGUUCCGAAAGGAACCAUUUCUAACUCUCAAGGACCCAAAAAGGUUUGGAUACCUAAAAUUUGAGAUUCUCUCUACAGGACUUGAAGAAAAAGAAGAAUAAGUGGUACUUGGACAGCGGUUGUUCAAGACAUAUGACUUGGAAUUAUUAUUGGUUUUCAAGUUUUACUAAGAUCGAAAAUGGUGGAGAUGUAUUGUUUGGAGAUAAUUCAAAAGAAAAAAUCAUUGGCAUUGGAAAUGUAGGUAAUGUAUCCUCUACUCUCAUUGAAAAUGUGUGUUUGGUUGAAAACUUAAAACACAGCUUGCUUAGUAUUAGUCAAUUAUGUGAUAAAGGAUAUAGAGUUAUCUUUGAUGAAUCAAAAUGUGUUAUUGAGAAUGCAUGUGAUGGGAAAGUUUUGUUUGUAGGAAAUAGAUGUGUUAAUGUCUAUUCCAUUAAUAUAUAUUGUGCAUCGACAAAUGAUAAAUGUUUAUCCGCAUUGCAUGAUGAUGGUUGGUUGUGGCAUAGAAGAUUAGUUCAUGCAAGCAUGGAUUCGAUUUCAAAAAUCGUGAAAAAUGAUUUGGUUAAAGGUCUUCCAAAAAUUAGUUUUCAAAAAGAUAGAAUUUGUGAAGCUUGCCAAUUUGGAAAACAAAUCAAAACUUCUUUUAAAAGCAAAAAUCAUGUUUCUACUUCAAAACCACUUCAAUUACUUCACAUAAAUUUGUUUGGACCUUCUAGAUAUGCUAGUUUAAGUGGCAAGUUUUAUGAAUUUGUAAUUGUAGAUGAUUAUUCUAGAUACACAUGGAUAUUGUUCUUAGCUAAUAAGGAUGAUGUCAUUGAUGCAUUUUGAAUUUUCGGUAAAAAUGUCCAAAAUGAAAAAGGUUAUUCCAUUACUUGUAUUAGAAGUGAUCAUGGUGGAGAAUUUGAAAAUCAUGCAUUUGAAAGUUUUUGUAAUGACUUUGGCAUUGAGCAUCAAUUUUCAUCAUUUAGGACUCCACAACAAAAUGGAGUUGUAGAGAGAAAGAGUAUGUCUAUUCAAGAAAUGGCUAAGACCAUGUUAAAUGAAAAUUCUUUGCCAAAAUAUUUUUGGGCCGAAGCCGUCAACACCGCUUGUUAUGUUGUAAAUUGUGUGUUGAUUAGACCUAAUCUUAAUAAAACUUCAUAUGAGCUUUGGAAAGAUAGAAAACCCAACAUUGGCUAUUUUAAAGUCUUUGGAUGCAAAUGUUUUGUUUUGAACACAAAAGAUAAUCUUGGUAAAUUCGAUCCAAAAUCUGAUGUUGGUAUCUUUCUUAGUUAUUCAAAUUCAAGCAAAGCUUAUAGAGUUUAUAAUAAAAGAACUUUGGUUGUGAAAGAUUCUAUACAUGUUACAUUUGAUGAGUCUAACCCCUCCUCUACAGAGAAAGUUGUUGUUGAUGAUAACGAAGAAGAAUAAGAACAAGAAGAAGCAUCAAAUGACAACAAAAAAUGUGCAUCACAUGGAAUUCAAGAGGAACAUCAUGAAGAAACAAAUGCAGAGCAAAAUGAAGGUACUUCUCAAACACUCCCCAAGGAGUGGAGGUAUAUUUCUUCUCACCCUAAGGAUGUAAUUUUAGGAGAUCCCUCACGAGGUGUUACAACUAGAUCAUCUCUUAGGAACACAUGUGAGCAUGCUGCAUUUAUCUCUUAAAUUGAACCAAAAUCCUUUGCGGAUGCGGAAAAUGAUGAAUCUUGGAUUAUGGCCAUGCAAGAGGAGUUGAAUCAAUUUGAAAGAAAUAAUGUGUGGGAAUUAGUUCCUAAUCCAGAACAUCAAUCUAUUAUAGGCACUAAUGGGUAUUUAGAAACAAAAUGGAUGAAUCUGGUGUGGUUGUAAGAAAUAAAGCUAGAUUAGUGGCUCAAGGUUACAACCAAGAAGAAGGAAUUGAUUUUGAUGAAACAUUUGCACUUGUAGCUAGGUUAGAAUCCAUUAGGAUGUUGUUAGCAUAUGCAUGUCAUAAGGAUUUUAUUUUAUAUCAAAUGGAUGGCAAGAGUGCUUUCUUAAAUGGUUAUAUUAUGGAGGAAGUUUAUGUGAAACAACCUCCUGAUUUUGAAAAUGAAAAAUUUACAGAUCAUGUGUAUAAGUUAUCUAAGGCUUUGUAUGGACUAAAACAAGCACCUAGAGCUUGGUAUGAUAGGCUUAAAAACUUCUUGUUGGAUAACAAUUUUUCGAUGGGAAAAGCGGACACAACUUUAUUUGUUAAGCAUAUGAACCAAGAUAUACUUAUUGUUCAAAUUUAUGUUGAUGAUAUUAUUUUUUGUUCUACUAAUGAGUUGUUGUGUAAAAAAAUUUCAUCAUGUAUGAGCAAAGAAUUUGAGAUGAGUAUGAUGGGAGAGUUGAAGUACUUCCUUGGACUCCAAAUUAAACAAAACGAGGAAGGAAUUUUCAUAAAUCAAGCCAAGUACGUGAAAGAUCUACUCAAAUCCAAUUCAUUUUCAAGCUCUCCAACAAGCAAAAACAAAAAGCACACGAGAUAUCUUGAGCUCUCAAUUUGCAAAUCACAAAAACAUUGAAUCAUCUCUUGUUCUUCAUUUUUGAAUAUCUACUCUUUGAGUGAGUUUUAUUGUAACUUUCAUUUCUUCAUCUUAAUUGUAAGAGUUUGAGUGUGUGAGACACUUGAGUGAAGAGAUUGAGAGAUAAUCUCUUUAUUGUAAAGGUUCAUUGACACAUUGAAGUCAAUUGUAAACGGUUGAAGCCUUGGAAAGGUUCGGAUAGUGAAAUCAUCAAGCUUGGAUCGCUUGGAGGCGUGGACGUAGGUGGGGAUUGCCGAACCACGUAAAAAUUCGUGUGUUUGUUUCUCUUCUCCCUUACUCAUUUGUUAUUGUGCUUUUAUUAAACUUAUUGCUUUCAAUUUUUAUUAAGACAUUAGAUUGCUUGUUGUGUAGAUUUGCUAGGAUAAUUUUUAAAAUUCCAAUUCACCCCUCUUCUUGGGUUGCACACUUAUAUUUCAUUCUUCUCUCCCAAAUCCACCAGCCCAGUCUUAACUUUUCCAGCAAUAAUUGACAGUGGUUGGAUGGCAACUUCAUCUCCAACAUCACCCGCCUGUAUUUCCAACACUUAGACGGUAGUUGGAUGGGUGAUUGACGACAUCUUCAUCUCCCAAAGCAAGGUUUUUUUUUUGUUUUAUUAAGAUUAGAUCAUCAUUUGAAUGUAAUUGAGUGUAUACUUUAUGAUAGAUGAGUAUUAUGGUUAAUUUACUAUGAAUUUUGAAAAGUAUUAAAUGAGAUUAUGAUUUGAGAAAAAUGGCAUAUGAGAUGUUUGUUGAAGUGCCUAUUAGACUUCGUUAUCUUAUUUUUGAUAGAUUGUGUUGUGGGUUUAUUAUGGCUUGGUACGAAUUCGUGUUCGACAAAGCAAGGCAAGUGAUUUUGGUGCGACAAGUGUUGCUUUGAUUUAGUGUGACGGAAGCUUAGAGCACAGACAACCUGCACCCUUCGCAUGAAAUCACAACAAGUAUGUUAAUGUAAUUUUAAGUGACAGACACUUGUCUUUGGGGCGAUAACGCCCGCCACUCAAAAUCAAAGCAAGCGUAUUGCUAUGAUUUUGAGCAACAUGCACUAUCUCCCAAGCCAUAGGUGCACGUUGCACGAAAUCACAACAAGCAUGUUAAUGUAAUUUUGACCGACAGGCACCCGUUACUCAAAUCAAAGUAAGCAUGUUGCUCUGCUUUGCCAAACAUGGAUUUGCACCAAGUCACAAUCAACCCACGACAUAAUCUAUCAAAAAUGAGAUAACAAAGUUUAAUUGGCAUCUCAACAAACACCUCAUAUGCCAUUUUUCUCAAACCAUAGUCUCAUUAAAUACUUUUCAAAAUUCAUAGAAAAUUAACCUAAUACGAAUCUAUCAUGAAAUAUACACUUAAUUACAUUCAAAAGACGGUCUAAUUUUAAUGAAACGAAAAAAAAAACUUGCUUUUGGAGAUGAAGCUUGCAUCAACCUCUUAUCCAGCCGCUGUCUAAGUGUCGAAAAUACAGCCACAAAGUCAAAGAAAAAGCUUAUGUCAAACGCCCAUCAAACUGCCGUUGAUUGUUUCCGGAAAAGUCAAGACCGUGCUGCUGGAUUUAGGAGUGACGAUAAUGUUCUUUUUUUUUUGUUUUGGAGUGACAAGGGUAUUUGUUGUCCAAAAAUGUUGAAAUUGGCUACAUAUGGUAGAAAACGUUUAACCGGCUAAUUCUAAAAGACCCUAAAAUUUUUGGGCUAAUUUUGUAAAUUUUCCUAGACAUUUUGCUUCAAAAUAUACUCUGUAACAAGCAAGGUAUGAGUAAGAGCAGUAAGAUUCAAUCCCACAUAUUAUCUUAAAAGGAUAUUAUCAUUCAUAUACCCUAUAGAUGCUUUGUUAUCAAAAAUACUACAACACUUUGAGGGUGUAUCAAUCGUCCACUCUAAAUUGACAAAAGAUAUCUGCCGACUACCAAACUGUUAGCUGCCGUUUGAAAGUUAAUGGAAUGAUAGUGAAUUGACGAUUUUACCCUUAAAAAUUAUCACUAGUACACUCUUAAAUUCUUUUAUUAUCACUUGUAUACCCUUAAAUUGUCACUUGUAUCUUAUGAAAAGACCAAAUUACCCCUCUGACGUUAUCCUAUUUAAAUGGCAAGUAACGGUUUGGUGGACGGCAGAUAUAUUUUGUCAACUUAUGGUGGACGAUUGAUACACCCUUAAAGUGUUGUAGUAUUUUUUAUAACAAAACAUCUAUAGGGUAUAUGAAUGAUAAUUUCCCUAUCUUAAAAGACCAUACUUUCUUUUAUACCCCAUUAAUUUUCAAAAUUAUCCUCUUAUCUCACCAGACACUUUUUUUUUUUUUUUUUGAUUCAUCAUCUACUUCCAAAUUUUCUUAUGUUCUGUCAUAACUAUCAUUUUUGUUUUUUAAAUAAUUGUAUCAACACACUUAGAUGCAAGUCUAUCAUCCAUUAUUUCAUUUUUUGAAAAAAAAAAGUGAUCAUCUAUUUUGUAAGUGUCUAUUAGAGAAUCUUUUAGACAUAUAAAUUUCUAAAAUUCAAUAUUUUAGAAUGAAAAAGAAAUAAAAAAUAAAAAAUCUAACAUUGUGUUAUACUACUCAUCAAAUCGCUAUAGAAUGAAUGGAAUAUUUUGCUUCAAAAAAUAAAAAACAUUUGACUCCUAUGACAUGCAAGUAAAAAUACAGAAGAGAAGAGCUGCCGGGUUAUUGAGUUUGAUUGAAAAAGAAAUAGAGCACAAUUUCUUUCUGUCCUUUAGGAUAAUUUUUAAUAUUAGACGGGGCCACAUGAGAUGAAAUGCGGGGCCGAAUAAUAACACUCCAUGAGUAAUGAGCACGUAUGCACGACCUCCUUUCUUUAUCGGGCUUGUAAUAAUUUGGGCUAAACCCAGCUUUCCAUAGCCACAAAAUCCCAUGAAGCUCAAAACAAAUAAAGGUGGUUCUGUUACAAGAUGCCUGUUUGCUCAUAAGAGUCGCUUGAAAUUUAAAUCCACACGAGGAGCUCUCCAAGCUACCCAAAUAUCAUCAAUAAUCAUUCAAAUCAUUGAAAAAAUAUGGAAAGUGCCAAGAGAGAUCAGACGAUAAGCCAUUGACGUUACCACGAAUCGUAUAAUCCCUCCACUCUGUCAAAACAGCAAUCAUGAUGCGUCAAGUGAGCCCCCUUCCUGCUUUUUACAUCCAAUUAGCCAAUCAAAUUCAAAACUCAAUUACGUGGUCGGUGAUCUACUUGCCCACGUGACACUGCUUUAAUGGUCAAAAUUAAUUAUGGGUCCUACAAUUGUAGGCCCCUCCACCGCCCGCCCUAUUGUCUUUUUGCCUUUUCGGGAUCUGCCUAAACAUAGAAGCCAGGUUCGUGGCCUUUUUUUUCACCUCUGCCUGGCGUCCCAAAAAUCAAAGAUGAAUUGAGAAUUUGAAUUUGAGUAGAACGACACGUCGGACGUCAUCCGAUAUCUUAGACGCCGCAAAUACCACAAACCUCGAGGCAUUAUCGAGUGUUUGCUACCGUACGAAGUCUUCAGUUUAGAGUUGUGCUUUACAGCCCUAGGGAUUCAUGAUUGUUCAAAAGCGCAGUAACGUGACGGGUUGCAUAUUUGUUGGCAAUAAAUACUAAUAUAUUUUUCUGUCUAAUUUAUGGUACUUUAAGCUAAAAAAAUCUGAUUUUUUUUAAAGAAAAGAUUCAACGCUAAUAUUGAAGAGUUUUUCAAUAAUAAUAACAACAACAACAACAAUGUCUAUACAAUUUUGAUAACAAAGUGCGCACACCAAGGUCCAACAUUUCUUGUUUUUACUGCAAAAAAACCAAACAAGCCAAUUUAUUAUUUCAUAUUUGUUGAAUUGGACAUAAUAAAAAUAUUUAAGAUAAAUUAGACAGGUUUAAAUUAUAAUGAUAGUUCGAAUUGUAUGUUGGAAAACAAGUCUUGUGUGUGAAGUCAUGUUUCUCGCUCUCUCUUUCUUUCUUGGCCUAGAAAGAUAUAUACACAAACUUAAUUAAUCUAAAGUUCGCAUGUGUGUAUGUAUAUAUAAUCAUUCUUAGGUGUGAAUGUCUGUUUUUUUUUUUUUAAUACAAAUACACUAUUAAAUCAUGUUGUUUAAAAAAAAUUAGUUUUGGAAUGAACUAUAAAAUUGUGCAGUUUUAAAGAAUUAAAAAUUAAUUCUCUUAAACCUUACAGUUUAAAAGUAUGUUCGUAUGAAAAAAUAAUGAAGACACCCACAUUAAAAAAUGACUAAUUUAUAUUUACAAUUAUUUAUUUCAUGUAUAUGCAUACACCCUUAAAUAAUUAACAUGCCUAACGAUUCAUUGCAUUUGCCUACACUGUAACAUCAACGUUCGAAUGUCCCCUACAAAAUGGAUUGGAAAGGUAGAAAGACACUUGAUCAAGAUAAUCUUACAGCUCAGCCGUCGAUGUCGAUGAUGAUGAAACAGAGUGGGUCCUGAGUCAGCAUGGUCAACAUCUGUUCCCUUGGUAUACCCACUGGGUCCACAUUCUUUCAUACCUGAUUCGCUGGAACAGGGGGCGAAGUAGUCAUGAAGCAUGCUUGCCACGUCAGAAUUUUAUUCGUUUCUUCCACGUAAAUCAAUCCUAUUGGUCCCGUGGGGACCCACCGGCUGACGCCGCCCCAUGCCCUUUACGGUCGAGGCCCGUUUGCUGAUUUGGUUGGCUGAUGUGGAUAGCCUAUUUUUCUUUUGGUCCCGCUUCCGAAAUAAGAGUGUAACCAAAAUGUGAUAAAUCAAAUUAUAAAUUGAUGGGUUGAUAAGUUUUGGAAAUUAUUUAAAACGUCUGCUUUUCAAUAUGAAAUUGUCAUGGCUUCAUUACCAUAUUACCUAGUUUAAAUCCACAUUUUCAAUCGUGUAACUGUUAUUUUUAGAGAAUAGUUACCAGUAUAUUAAUCAAUGUAAAUUCUUGAAAAAAGAACAUUCCAAAUUAGUUUAAUAUAUAUAUUGCAUACAGCACUGCUGGUCCGUGGCUUCAUGUGACUGUCAGAAAUAUCAUUCACAGUGAGAUUAAAUUAUUGAGGGUUGCCACAGUUAAAAGUAAUAGAUAUUCGAUCAAGAACGUGAGGUGAAUGAUUGUCAAGGACGCCUAAACAGCCGACUGUACAGAGCACACACUACAAAGGAAGAUGAUAGCUCAGCGGAAAAUUUGCGACCAUUGUUUGGCAAUUGGCAUUCCCCAAUCAAACUCGAAAGGGUACAAACUAUUAUGUAUUAAAAAUAGCAAAACCCCAUCUCAGAAACUUUCUUCUCGCAUAAUUACCAAACAUGCUCGCUCAUGCCCUUGGAAGUCAGUGUGGUGAGGUGUCAAAUCCCAAGAUUCUUCAAUCAAGGACCCCACUCAGCCACCCCCCCUCCUCCUUUUCUCUCAUCAACUUGAGGCUCCUUUUCACUAGUCACUACUAUAUAAAGCAGCCUCAUCACUCACACUCUGAUCAUCUCAAACACUCAAGCGCAUUGUCAAUUUCUUUGCUUUCUUAUAUUUAUAUACUUGUUUUCUUUGUAGUUUUCUAGCUGUUGAAAUUGCAAUAUGGCCACAGCUGAGGUGAAACUCAACUUCUAGUAAUCAAGUUCUUAUGCAUGCAUAUUGGCGUUAUGAUAAUAAUAGGCGAAUUAAUUAAUUUGAUUGUUCGUAUGCAGGUUGUGUCAGCAAAGACUGCUCUUUCUGAGGAGAUCAAAGCUGAGGAGCCAGUCAAGGCUGAAGAAACUAAAACAACUGAGGAGCCAGUCAAGGCUGAAGAAACUAAAACAGCUGAUGAGCCAGUCAAGACUGAAGAAACUAAAACAGAGGAGGUAGUUGCUUCAGCUUCUGCAGCACCUGUGGCACCAGAACCCGUUGCUGAAGAGCCACCAGCAGCAAAGGAAGCAGAACCUGUUGCUGUAACUGAAGAAGCUGCGGUGGUUACUCCAGAAGCUGAAGCCCCAGCUGAAGUUGAGACAAAGGAGGUGGUAGCCGAAGAUCAGCCAGCAGCAGCGGAGAAGACUACCGCAGAGAAAACUGAAGAAGUGGAAACUACUCCAACGGAGACACCAGAGCCAGCUGCUGAGAAAGAGGCCAAGGAAGAAGAGAAGAAGCCCGAGGCAGAAGUUGAAGCUGCAAAGGAGGAAGUGAAAGAUGAAGAGAAACCUGCAGUUGAGAAGCCAGCUGAAGCUGAGAAGAAAGCUGACACUGAUGGAGCCCCAGCUGAGAAGACUGAGUAAUAAGAUUGUAAGAACUAAUGUUGGCCAAUUUGCACGUCCAAGUUAAUUUAGUUCAGUGGUUUCAAAUAUUUUAGUAUUCUGUAACAAUAAGGGAUUUUGUUUGAGUCUUGGUAUCUGCAAACGACCCCAC